GAGCUUUGGUUGCUGUAGUUACUGCAGUUCCAUACCAGCAAAACAACUUUUGUUACAGAGGGAUAAGAGAGCCUUUCGUGUUGUCCUAAAAUUAUUCUUGUUUAUCUUACGUCUUGAGAAGGCUACCUGUCUAUGAAUGCCAGAAACAUGGCCAGCAGGUCCUUGGCGUAGCGGCACCACAUCUUGGCAUACUGCAGGGCCAGCUCCACGCCUCCCUCACAGCGACACAGGGCCAGGUCUGCUUCCUGGGCUGAGAUGUAACCCAUGAUAGUGAGGUAAAAAUGUCCAGGAGAUGGAUUCUAGGGUGCUGAGACUGACCGACCUGUGAUGGAGCGACACAGCAUGGUGAGGGCGUGGCUGACUGGAGGUCGACCCAUGGAUGGGUAGCAUUCCACCAGGGGAUGGAGAGACUGCUGUAUGGCCUGGAGCCCCAUGGACACAUGCAGCUGGUUAGGACC